ACAAACAAUACUAUAUUUCUAAAACAACCCCUACAGCAGGAAUAAAACACUCCUGUGACAUCACAAGGAGCUAUGUAAGGACAAUCUGCCCAGAAUGUUGAGAUCUAUGUAAAAUAAUUCUGAAGUAUUCACAGAUGAAAAGCAGCCUACACCCUGAGCCCAGGACAGAGUGCAGCGGGUUCAUAGGGGAUUUUGUUCAGUCUGAGCCCCGAGUGUCAAUUCUAUUCCCAGAUGGCUGACUGGCAGAGCUGCUUGCUGUUGGCCUCCAUCUCUGCUGCCAGAUAUGGGAGCAAGAGGCAAGACCUCCAGGCCAUGGCCUCUCUAGGUGUGCUCAGGCUCUGUCCAAGGGUCAGGGGUCAGAGGGCUGAGCCCAACAUCUAGUCACCAAUGAUCAGUCUUCCUCAACGCAGCACCAACUCACACUAGGACCAAGGCUCGCCUCUGAGGCCUGGUUUUCUGUCACCUCUGGACUCUGGGAAACACAGCCUGGAAGCAGCUGUGCUUCAGCUUGAGCAGCUGCUCCAGAGCUGACAGUAUAACAGGCCUUUCUGAAGAUUUGUGUAAGGCUAAUUAGAAGCAGGCCUGCUCCAAUCACCCAAAGAAACCAACUGCAGACACAAAUCCUUCACUGUGCUAUGGCAGAGACACCAUUCCUUUUGUGCUGGAGUCCAACUUCCUGCCGAUCCCCAUGACCACAUGGGGCUCUAGUCUCACAGGCAGGCCAUCAGAUACCACACCUGCGGGGCUUGCAGAGCCAGGCCUGUUGGCAGGACUCGAAAUGACUGCCUGAAAGCCCUGAAGGUCCUGGACAUGCCAUGGAUUCACUUCCCACUCUGGGAAUAAACUGCCAAUUGCAGACAAGCAUGGCCCAGGGAAAAAUCAAAACCAAAUCUUUACUUAAGCAUAAAACUAUACCCUGACCCCUUGCCAAGGACCACUGGAAUGUUCCUAGAGCUUACCAAGGCAGAAGAGCUCACGGCUAGGUGGGCGGGGAGAUGUUGGAACCAAGAGGACUCACCAGCCUUGCCUUGCCUUGCCUAUGGAGGGAGCUGGGCUGACUGCAGAGCAUGCUGAGCCACAGGCAUCUCCAUCUAAAAGGACUGAGACAGAGACUGUCACAGAUACUGAUGCCCGAGAGCUGAUACAAAGCACCUGGAUGUUUUUACAAGGAACACAUUCUAGGUUAAGAAGGUUCCAGUCUACAUUCGGGACAGGUGAAAGGCAUUAGUGUCUGGAAAAACUCCAUUUUGGUGAAAAUAAACAUGGAAAGAAAUAGCCUCCA